UGUUACUUGGACGGUCACAGAUGGCUGUGAUGCACUUCCCCUAUUUUCUUGCCAAAUGUAUGAAGUUUACACCUACCAGAAUCUUCAGUGUUAUGGCAACAGAACGUUAUUACGCUUUGCAGCGUACAAUGGUCAUAUUAUCGAGUUCAGAUUGGACCAACCGGUGAUGUCUAGAGAUUUAAUGUUACUCACGUAUGAUGGCUGGUUCAUGCUACAGUGUGAGAAGCUAAGUAGUCCUGAUGUGGUACCAGACCUUCCAUAUUCUCUGUUGCCAGCAUUGACUGAUGGUUAUUUCCACGAUGUUGUGAUUACCUCACGUUCUGGUAGAAAGGUAAGCAACAGUUUCA